GGGCGGGGAGCGAGCGUGUGAGGAGCGGGGCGGAGGCGGCGAGGGGAGAAGGAGGAGGAGCAGACGGCGGAGCCGAGCCCGCUAAGUCCGUCCGGCCGCCAGAGCGUAGGCGCUGUGCGGAAGGGCCGCGGCCCCUGGGCGGAAUCGGCGUAGGGGGCGUUGGAGAAUCGCCGGGUUGGCUGGCGGGAGGAGGAGGAGGACGGGGGGGGCGGCUCGCUCGCUGCCGUUGCGGCUGAGGGAAGGCGGGGAGGGCGGGAGGCAGGCAGGGAAGGAGGGCAGCCAGCCGGAGCCCAGCGUCAGCAGCGGCAGCGACACCGCCGCCACCGGCCAGCGCCAUGGUAGCUCAACAGAAGAACCUUGAAGGAUAUGUGGGGUUUGCAAAUCUUCCAAAUCAAGUUUACCGGAAGUCUGUGAAGAGAGGAUUUGAAUUCACUUGCUCAUG